UUAUCUUUGCAGUGCAUUGGUUUGUAUUCUCCGUGUUCCGGGGAUGCAAUUAAAAGGGAAUCAGGUGCAAAUCCUGAACAGUCCCGCUGCUGUAAGUUUCACAUCAGAUUGUUGUAAGCAACCACCACUUGCCACUGGGAAACGUUUCCUGGGAAGGCGCUUAUCAACAGAAACGAGUCAGAAGACCUGCCUGUGCAUCUUUUUCAUU
rnacentral:ncRNA from 2 species